AAUCAACGCUGGCGGCGUGCCUCAGACAUGCAAGUCGAACGAGAAAGUUUCCUUCGGGAGACGAGUACAGUGGCGUCCGGGUGAGUAACACGUGGGUAAUUUACCUUUGGGUGGGGAAUAGCAGCCGGAAACGGCUAUUAAUACCGCAUAAUGCAGCGGCUCGACAUCGAGACAGUUGUUAAAGCGGGGAUCUGACAAGGACCUCGCGCCUAAAGAGAAGCCUGCGUCAGAUAGCUAGUUGGUAGGGUAAUGGCCUACCAAGGCUGUGAUCUGUAGCCGGCCUGAGAGGGCGGUCGGCCACACUGACACUGACACACGGGGUCAGACUCCUACGGGAGGCAGCAGUCGGGAAUUUUGGGCAAUGGGCGC
rnacentral:rRNA from 1 species